AAUACCUUUGAUUAAACUAGAUUAUACGUACUUCGACCUGAAUGGGACCACGUCAUCUUGUAAAUUUCCCAGAGAGGGCUUUUGUUGUGAAGAAACAAAAACAACAGGUCUGUCUUUAACAAAAACUGUGCAGAAACACGAAAACUGCAGUCUGGCUCAUCUUCACCACACCUCCUUCCUGUCAUAACCCAGCUCUGUAAAUAUGCCCAGGGCGCGCAUCAGAGAUCCCAUCUCCAGAGACAUCCUCGUGGUCACUGAGGCAGAAAGACACUGCUGGAUUUCACAAGAGGGGUUAGCAGGUGACCACAGAGAUAGAGUUCAGGAACUGGACAACAGAAACAGGAAAGACUAUGCAAGACACUGGAGGUUAGAGACAGAAGAAUAACAUAUGUAGGUAUCCCUGGAUAUCAGCAGGUAACCUUUCACCAGGAAAUGACCUCUACCUGAACAGACAACUAGGUGAGGAGACAGGAGGAGCACUGAUUCUAAAUACUCGGCAGCUGAUACGGUGCUUAGCUGUAGGUGUUGCAACCAGACCGGGGAGGCUCAGCUCCACAGAGGAAGGAAGAAAACAAAAUACACAACCAACACCCCA